rnacentral:lncRNA from 1 species
GAGUUAACUUUCCUCCUGGAGGAGUGCUUGAAAAUUGACUUCCUCAUAAGUGAGGUUGUUUCCCGGGGAUGCAGGUGGAAACUGGAGUGUAGUUCUCAUAAAGUUAACAAGGUCACUUUGCUGAGCACAGGCCUCAUGUAAUUUAAGUCACCUACUGCCAAUGAAGGUAGGUAAUGUUCUCUGCCACUACAGAUCAGCUCUCUGAAACCAUAGCCAGUGAUCUUUUGCAGUUUUAGCACAUACACACACAAAAAAAACCCUUUUGGAUUUUUUGGAUUUAAACUAUUCCAAAUAACCAGAAACAGAAAAGAUUAAAAAAAAAUCAUAAAUCUAAAUGCUCAUAAUAAAUGCUGGAUAAUAAAACAAAUGUGUAAAAUGGGGGGGGGGGGGGGGGGGGGAGGGAAGCUAAUGUCUCAGGAAGAAAUGAUUCUGUGGUCUUCCAUUUAAGUGGUUUGUAUGAGAAGAUCUAAGCAUAUUCAUAACAUAAACACAGGCAAGCAGCACCAAACCCACAGACAUCACGUGAAGUUACUAAUCCAAAAAGAAGGCAGCCCCAUGUCUUGUUUUCAUCUUUAACACCUUUUAGCUUCUUUUCCUCACACUUCUACCACCUCUGCUUUUAGGCUGGAAGAAAUUGUGAAGUGGUAAAAGGAGUUUGUGCUCAUAAAGCUUUGAUGACUUGACCAUCUGGCUGGGAACACUCAUAAAGUAAGCCUUGCAGAGGUGAAGGAGGUCAGAGACUACACAAGAUGGCACUGAGGUGGGUCCUGGCACCCAAAUUCUGCAUGACUGGAGGGUUUAAUGUGGACAAAAGUACAAGCAAUCUUAUCAGCAGUCUUCUUUACAGGUACGGACAAGAAAAAAACAUAGCAAAAAAGAUUCCAAUGUACUUAUUCCUUACUACAUUUAUUUUGCAAAGAUUUAUUCUUUUCUUGAGUGUAGCGCUGUUCUUGGCUUUCCA